CCUCACCUCCUGGCAGCUAUAACAUUCAGCACAAAAAUCUGGUCAAGGUGGGAUCAGUGGGCUAGAGGUCUCAAGAAAUCCACACUAUGUUGAUACUGCUUUAGAUAUAGAUGAGAUCAAAGUGCCCAAACUCUGCUGAGCAGAAAGAUUCCAUGAGACACUUAAUAAAGCCAUGGAUGUUGGACUCCACCCUCAUAGGUCCUGAUUCAGUCUGUAGUAAGCCUGGGAAUCUGUAUUUUAACAUGCUCCCCAUGUAAUUAUUCUGCAUACCUAUAUACGAGAGCCACAAAGCUACACUUUUCUUUUGAAUCAGACACUGCUUGGAUUUUAAGUACUGGUUUUGUCCGGCUAUCCAUAAGUAGAACAUUCCAAUGAAAGCUUCCCAAACAAAAUGUCAUAAAGUGAAGAAGCAUCAACAUUUAUUUAUAUGGAAACAUUUUUGAGCAUUCCCAGACCCCAAAAAUAACCUCUCGGGCUUUUCUGAUACCUUAGGACACAUCUUGCUAACAAAUGCACAAAAUAAAUUGAAAUAAAGCAAAGACAGACACAGACACAGUUCAAAGUUCUGGUGGCUUGAUGUUAAGAUGAUGAGUGUGGUUCUGGGGAAGGAGCUCGGUGGGACCCUCUCGCUGCUCUGGGUGCUCACGUCUUGCUAUUUUCACCUUUUAUCAUAAAAGCAAAAGUCCUCUUUGGAUUUCUUCUGGUUAGUGAAAACGAGUACUACUGUAGGUCUUUCAUAAAAGCAAAGUGGUGUAAUGUGAACUUUCAAAAAGUGGGGGACACCUCUAUAGUAGUUUCCUGAUCCUCUUGUCUGCUAUUUCCUUGGGGGGGGCUUCAGUUCCUCGAGGUCUGGAAACAGAGGAUUCUCCUUCUGAUGAAUUAGCAGAAGGUCAGGAGUAGGCUAAUGCUACGUCAUGACGCCCAUGUCAUUCACCUCACUGCACUGCGGGUUUAUCAUCUCACAUCACCACAAGAAUAAAGAUUUUAUUUAUUCAUUCAUGGAAGACACAGAGAAAGAGGCAGAGACAUAGGCAGAGGGAGAAGAAGGCUCCCUUCAAGGAGCUGAUGCAGGACUCAAUCCCAGGACCCCAGGAUCAUGCCCUGAGCUGAAGACAGACACUCAACCGCUGAGCCACCCAGGGAACAGCCAAUUUGACAUGUCUGUGAAAAGCAAGAGUGUUGAUUCUUUCACUCAUGAAACCUACAGGAACUUCCAGGACUCUCAAAUCCCCAGCUAAGGAGACCGAGGCAGAGAGAUUAAGGAACCCCCCCUCCCCACCACAUCCCACAUCUGGUGUAUACCUAGGAAUGCAAUUGCUGAGUCAAAUGGUUCCAUGCCCAGUGUAGAGCCCUACAUGAGGCCUGAGAUCAAGACCCUGAGAUGGAGACCUGAGCUGAGAUCAAGAGUUGGACAUUUAACCAACUGAAGCACCCGGAUGCCCCAGUGAUUUUUUUAUUUUAAGGAAUGAUAAUUUCUAUACUCCAUGGGGUCAUGGUGAAGAGAUUCGCUGAGCUCAUGCGUGUGAAGUGCUCAGUGCAGCCGGGCUAUCGGCUCUGAGGGGCCAGUGUCUUCCCAGGAACGUCUUUGAGUUCUCAACAUUAGACUUGCCAGACCAGCAGCCUCGAGUUCACUUAUUCAUUCAACACACCUGUGGAGCAUGUGUUCCCCCAUUCAAAGCUCUCUGCUGGUGUAUAAAACUUUGAAUUGUUUAGAAGCAAAUCCAGAGAAAACAAAUCAUUGGUGGCUUCUGUUGGCAUGUGGGCUGCUGUUAAAUGUAGAAAUAUCUCCAUGAAAAGUUAAAGGACUCCUUUUCUGAUGCUGAAGACACACAAUUACAGUGCAAAUGUUUCAACUGCGGAGCAAGAACUUUAUUUGGAAGACAAGGAAAUGUCUCACUGUGCUUUUGCAUCCUUCAGAAUCAGUAAAACAACCAACAAAAGACUACAAACAAAAACAAAACAACCAGGCUGAGCCACCGUGAGGAGGGAGCUCUGCUCCCAGCAUCCACGCCCUGCAAAGAAUUCUUUAAAUCCAUCUGCUGUAGGAAGUUAGGCAAAGCCAUAGCUGUGGAAAUUCAAAACAGCAGGUUUUAACUAAAGAACCUUCUUCCUGGAAAUGUGUGUAUUUAAAGCUGCCUGGCCGGGCUGCCUCUAGCCUUAGGGCAGCCCAGGAAAGCUCUCUGAAGUCAAGGAAAGGCACUUUGCUUUUCCCUCGUGGGUAUAUGAGGCUCAGCUUGAAUUUUUCAAACAGCGUCCUUGUAGAGCCGAGGAGAGCUGCUCCGUGUUUUGGGGAAGCUCUUAGUGGAAAGAGCAGAUCCUUUGAAACUGGGCAGAUAGGAGUUCAAAUCCGGGCAGUGCUUCCUAACUGAGUAACCCGGAGAAUUUCAUCUGUAAAGGAUGGUGACACCCACCUUAUGGGAUCUCUAUGGGGAUGAGAUGAGAUAUCAUAUGCAAAUCAUCAUAUGUAAAAUAGGUGUUCAAUAUGCAUUUUGGGGAGAGGUAGUUUGGAAAGCACACAAGCCCAGGUGUUGCAUAAUGUAAAGGAAGCCCUGCAGGUGAAUGUGGCCCAUGUAUCGUUUGUCCUUGUAUGGGCAGCAGUUGGCCAGGCGUGAUGCAAUUUAGAAUCCCUCGUUACCUUUCAAUGGAGUUCAACUUUUCAGUUAGAAUAGACUUCAGAACUGUAUUUUUGGUAGAGUUCAGUCUUGGGAGCAAAGAGAACUAAGGGCAAUGAGGAAGACUCUCUUGACCAUUGCAGUGUUGCAUUCUUAUAAUUUCUUGAAAUUUGAAAGCUUCCAAGGGUCUUAGAUUAAGUUUCUAAAACUCUUUUGCUGCAAUACAAAAUAUGGCCCAGGGAUCCCAGAAGGUGCCUCAAAGACGGGGAUGCAAACUGCUAUUUGAACACUAUUGGGCUGAAUAUAGACUGAAGGGCUGUUGGACUCAGGUUUUCCAUCUCUCGCAAAGUGUUUGAAGAACUCUUUGGAUUGCUGGAAGAUUAAGAUUAAGGUGCAUCCAUUUCUUCCUCCCAAAUACUACCUUUGUGUGUUACCAAAAACCUGAGCUGAAAAGCGGGGACCUGGUUGAAGCAGUGGGGAGUGGCUGUGAGUGGGGCCCUAUGUUAUUUAAAGAUCAUGGAUUCAUUUUUUUAACAGACAUCUGGAAGCAUCUAGUUUCAGAUUCUGUAGAAGCAAAGCUCAGUAAGACCAUGGUCUUGCACUCAAAAAAAUUCCAUCCUUUACCUCGCCCCAGAGACUGUUGCCUUAAAAACAGACUCACAUUUCUUCUAAUCGCAACUCUGGGUUAAUCUUUUUUUAUUUUAAACACAAGAGAGCUCUGGUUCUAGGGGUUGGCUUUCUGUGAAAUCAUAUCUCUCUGAACUAAAUUUCCUUCAUGGGCAAACCAACUGAGGUGUUUGGAGUUAUCAAUUCUACUGUCCUUCAGUGUCACAUGGAGGUGCUUUUGAAACACUUAGGUUUGGAUUCCCAGGAUCCACUCCAGGCCUAUUUAAUCUUAACUCUCUGAGGGUAGAGCUCACCUUCCCCGAGAGGUGCUGACAUACAUUCAAGUAGAGAACCUGUGUGCAUUCCAAGCCCAGGAUUCCUUAGAGGUCCCAAUACUGGAUUAGGAGAAAGCAAAAUCUCCUUUACAGCACAAAAGAGUAUCAUUUUAGUAUUGGAGGCUGGAUUUGAGAAAAUGUACUCUCCAGAAACCUUCUCAGAUAGCUGAGAAGAAAGCAAUGAUGCCAGAGAUAGAAGCAGAGAGUCUCAACACAAAGUACUGUCCGCAGGCCCUUUGAGAACUGCAGGGGUGGGGGGCUGUUCCUGAGUGGGCAAAUUCCAGCCUGGCCUUUAUCUCAUUAUUACUCUUAUUCUUUUCCAUCCCUGCCCUCAAGAAGGACAGGGGCACCCCACCAGCCCAGUGUGCUCAGAGUACUCCAGCACAUUGGAAGGGAGGCACCGGUGGCCUCAAGCCACUGACUGGCCUGUGGGCAUCAGUCACCCUGGGAGAAUCAGAGGAGUCACUAUUCUGUCACCAGUGGCCAGGCCAUCUCUACCUGUGGUCCACUCCUACAUGUAGCCAAGCUUUUAGGGGCCUUUAAGCCCAAGAAAGCUCUCAGAUGUUGGCUCAGGAUCAAUGGCUAGCACUGAUUGUCAAGAUUUUGGCUUCAUUUAUUUACUCAACACAUAUUUAUUAAAUGAAUGUUUGCCAUCGGCAGAGCAGUUACCAUUGGGAGACCCUCCUAGAGCAACGACCGAUAAAAUCUGAGAGAGGGCAUAGGCACACAACUAUAAAAAAAAAAAAAAGCCACCUAGGAUUGAUACUUUAAAAAUAGCAAAUUUAUUUUAAUCCUAAAUGGGCACCAAAAGAAUUCUGAUGGAUGUAUAAUUUAUGCAAAUCUAUGCAAAUUCAAGUACCAAUUACACAGAAGAGGAUUGGGUGGCAUUUGUAAAGACCAGCCAUGCUCUAAGCUGUCACCUGCCAGCCUGCUUCUCCCUGGAGUCAGAUUCAGACCAGAUGGCAGGAAUUAGAAAUGAAGAAACCUCCUUCCUUGAACUUUCACCUUCAAGUCUAAUAUAAGCAUCUGUGAGCUUUGAAGUGGUGGGAUUGUUUUGGUUAGGAUUCAAGAGCUCUUUUAGGGAUUGCAGCAGGACGCUGACUCUGGAAACAAUAAUACCUCCCCAUGCAGACCCCAAAGUAAUGUGUGCAAGACACUUUGACUUUCCUAGAAUAAGACAGGUUUAGGUAUUGCUAGAAAAGCAGCAAAACAGAAUGCCUCACAAAAUAUUAGAUUCGUUGCUUCCAAGGGGAUAAAUGACAAGUGUUUACUUGUACACAUACACACACACACACACACACACACACACACACACACACACACCUACCUUCACCUUAAAAUGGGGCUAGUACAGUUUCUUCAGUGAACCCCCUAUGCGGGGCCAACAGCUGAUCACGUGCAGAAUUGACUGCAGCUCCUUCCUCCGCAAGAGUGUUCCCUCUAGACUACUGAGUCAGCAUCAUUAUCCAAAUAAACAUCUGCUCUAUUUUGUUGUUAGUAAUGAUAAUGACUAGCUGGGGUCACUAAGGAUGGGCCUAACACAUACCAUCCAAAUGGAAAAUUUGAGAAAAUUGGAAGCUUUAGAAAAAACUGCAAUUGUGUUUCUCUAUUUACUUUUUAAAAAACAAGAAGACUCUGCCUUAUAUUGGCCUUAUAUUGGGGUUAUUCUGUUUGGUUAGAACACUCAUGACACCAGCCUUAGGAUUUAUAGAGCCAAGGGUUAUUACAAAGCCUGGUUGGAUAGAGGAGGGGGUUUAGGAGCCUGAGCUGAGGACUUUGGAAGUCUUUCAAGGGCCUGCAGUGAAAUCAUGGAAUGCCAAGAUCCCGGCUGAUAGCCUUUGGGCUGGUAAGGAAUGUUAAGAAGGAGAGGCUCCUUUUGCAGACCUGGGAAGGAGGGGCUCCCCUCUGCCUCAGUGCUGGAGGUCUCCCCAUGCAGGCUGCCUGUUGUGCUGCGUGACCGAAGGGAAGGCUGCUGGAAUAAUCCAUGUGCUCAGGGCUGUGCCUUCCUGUGGAUCUAGUACGACCUGAAAACUGGCCCUCACUAAGUCAGUGUGGGAACCCCCCUCACCACCACCACCACCACCAAGGAGGAUCCUUUGAUGUGAGGUGUGAAUGCACACUGACAUGUCCACAGGGAUAAUGAAUUGUGGUAUCUGAUGGGAAGCAGAAGCUUCUCUGGGAAAAAUUCCUGCAUUUUCUAUUGCUGUGACCAUCAAGCUCAAUGUAUCCUGUAUAUUUUUGAGGCAAAUGGCAUAUACUGGAGCUUCACCAACCCUAGAGCAACUUCUAAAGUGAAUCCUCUCAGGCUCAGAAUCCAGUGCUGGGAGAUGGAGCUGGGGGUAACUAUUCUCUGAAAGAUGGGCUAUUUUACUGUCCUAAACUUCACUCCCACAUAAAGGAGCAUGUGUUACAAGAGGCAGCAAGCUCUGCCCCACAUGUCAAAUAGGUGCUACAGUAAACUCCAGUUGGUGAGCUCAGGAAACAAUUCAUAGAGUGGACUAAGUGCAUGUGGGGCUCUCUAUUCCUGUUUCCUUAUCUAGACAGCAGGGCAGAGAUGGGUCCCACUGUAGGGAAAAAUAGGUACCCAUUGCCUUUGAGCUUUUACUCAAGUUUCCAUUUGACUUGACUUUUUUUUUUUUUUUUCAUUCUUUCAGAAUCCCUAGGGGCCCUUCCAGGCUUUGUUUUCUAUGGGUGUAAUUUCUGGAGGAGACAAAUGUCUUCAUUUCCUACACUGUUGGGGGUUGACCCUGAAUGGGAAUAAGAGUGUAAAUCACCCAUUCCAAUUGUCUGGCUGAGGACCAUAAAGUGCCUUGCAGUCGUUAAGUGUUCACCAUUUUUUGAGGCCGAUGCAUUUUUCAUGUCAGUUUUAUACACAAAAUUUAUGUCAACUGGUUAGAAAUUUGCUUUACUCUGAAAUUCUCCAAGGCUUAACUGGAACUAAUGAAAACUCAGAAAUAAUAACAAAAGACCCAAACAUCUCCACAUAGUUUUCUUAACUCUAUAUCAAUGCUUACUCCAAAUCCAGAUCUACUAAUACCAUUCUAUCUCUGGGAGAGGUAGUACAUUGGCUAGAAAUACUUUUGCCAGCAAGUAACAUUAGAAUCUAAAAAUGGGGAUCCCCGGGUGGCUCGGCGGUUUAGCGUCUGCCUUCAGCCCGGGGCCUGAUCCUGGAGACCCAGGAUCGAGUCCCACGUCGGGCUCCCUGCAUGGAGUCUGCUUCUCCCUCUGCCUGCGUCUCUGUCUCUGUGUCUCUCAUGAAUAAAUAAAUAAAAUAUUAAAAAAAAAAGAAUCUAAAAAUGGCUUAAACAAAUGGGAAUUAAUUUUUCCCACAUCAUCUAAAGUCUGGAGGUAAUAGCUUUUUCAUUGGUCUGGUAGCUCAAGGUAUCCAGAGCUUUUUCUUCUCCUGGCUUUUCCCUCAUGGUUGCAAUAUGGCUGCUGCUACUCCAGGCAUCAGAUCCUCUAUCAAAAGAGAAAGUUAAUGAGGAUAAUGGUUUGAGAAUAUAGCACAAAUUCCUUGACACAUCUAUUGAGAAGUGGGCCUUAUGCUCCCUCGCCUUGACUCUCAGUGGGUUUGCGACUCAUUCACCCAACAGAGCAUGGUAGAAGUGAUAUUGUGUGACUUCUGAGAUUAUAAAAUGCCAUGAAGCUUUUGCCUAGUUCUCUUAGAACACUUAUUCUCUUGAUGCUUUUUUUUUUUUUGAGACUCUUUCUUUUGAGAAUCUCCCUCUCUUGAUGCCAUGCUCUGAGGAGCCCAAACUAGAUGAAUGACUUUGGUCAACAGUCCCAACUGAGUCCAGUCUUUGAGCCAUCAUAGCCCAGGAAGCAGAGAUAAAAGUGAAGAAGCCUCCAAAUGAUUCUAGCCCCCAGGCCCUUUGAAAUAUUCCCCAGAUAAGGAUCCAGCCUGCAUGAAAGAAAGAUAAGCCAUCCACACCAUGACCGGUACAAAUUCUUGACUCACAGAAUUCAUUUCUGAGCAAAAUGAAGUGGCUGCUGUUUUCUACCAAGUUAGAGGUGGUUUAUUAGGCGGCCAUGGAUGUCCAGAACAAGGAGAAAAGAUAGUGCAAACUCCAUCCAUCCCUGACUGAUAAAAUAAAAUCUUUCCCAGAAGGCCCUCCGCAUACUCCCUGCAUAACUUAAUGGUCAUGACAUGGCCACCCCUGUCUGCAGGGGAAGUUGAAAAAAUAAGAAACGUUUUGGGUUAGAGGUGAUCUGUUUGGGGGGAAGGUAUGCUAAACAAAAGAGAAGUGCUUUUAGUAAGGAAGAGAAGGGAGAAAGAGUAUUGGAUGAAUAACAGAGUGUGCCACAGUAGCAUAGGAAAAAAUAUGUAUUUUGAAGUGUAUCAUGUAUAUGAGGGAGUGUAGAUAUUGUAUAUGUGCAGUUUAGAGGGGACUGAUGAAGUACUUGUGUACACACAAAGUCACAAGGAAAGAGAAAUCAACAACAAAUCUGAAACACCUUGUAAACAAGUGAUUUUCGGAUUAUAAGCCUCUCCUUACUCCUGCCCCUUCUCAGAGCCUUCUGAUUUUUGUGUUUAAGAUUCCUUCGCUUUACCACAGCUUUUUAACUUAGGAACAUAUAUGGUAUUGUUUUGCAUGCUUUUUGAGCUUUAGAUAUAUAAUAUUCCUCUAGAACUUGCUUUUUCUGUUCAGCAUCAUGUGCAGACAUUUAUCCACAUUGAGACCUGUAGUUUACUCAUUUUCACUACUAUAUUGUGCCUGUAAUCUAUUCAUUUUCACUAUGAUGUUGUAUUAAUACAAUAAUUGUGUUGCACAUUUCAUGAAUAUAUCAUAAUUAGUUUGUUCAUUUCCUUGUCUGGGGACACUUAGUUUGUGUCCAGCAUUUUUCUACUUUGAUUGAUGCUGCUGCUCUGAAUAUUUUUUUUAAAGAUUUUAUUUAUUUAUUUAUUUAUUUAUUUAUUUAUUUAUUUAUUUGAGAGAAGAGAGAGACUGAGUGAGAGAAGGGGCAUGAGCAGGAUGAGGGGCGGAGGGAGAACAGGCUCCUCCCUGAGCGGGUCCCGGGGCUCUGGGAUCAUGACCUGAGCCAAGGGCAGCCUCUUAACUGACUGAGCCAACCAGGUACCCCUGCUCCGAAUAUUCUUAUACAUAUCUCAUGGGCAGGAAUAACUUUAAGAAAUAUACCUAGGAAAAUAAGUGCCUAAUUAUGUGGUAUAUACAUUCUCAGCUUUUCUAGGUGAUGUCAAAGUAUUUUCCAAAGUGGGUUUAUCAAUUUACACUGUCUUUAAUAGUGUGUACUAAUUCUUGUGAGAGUAUAAAGACUUGAUAAUUUUUGACAAUCUGAUGGCUAUAAAAGGAAUCUUUUUGUGGUUUAAAUUUACAUUCCCUGAUUACAAAUGAAGUCAAUGUGUUUUAGAUACCUAUGAUCAUUUGUGCUUCCUUCUUAGUGAAAUGUCUGUUUGGAGCUUUUGUCCAUUUUCUAUUGGAUUGUUUGACUUUUUAAAAAUGUAUUUGUGGCAGUUCACUAUAUAUUAUGGAUACUGUUCCUUUGUUAGUUCUGUAUAGUAAAUAUCUCCCAGUUCGUAGCUUGUGUUUUUAGUUUUAUUCUUAGCGACUGUCAACAAAUAGAAGGGAGGCUUGUUUUUUAAUUUACACGGUAACUGUUCAUUAAAAAAAUUUACUGGUUAA